rnacentral:rRNA from 1 species
UACGAAGGGGCUAGCGUUGUUCGGAAUUACUGGGCGUAAAGCGAACGUAGGCGGUGUUCAUGUCAGAGGUGAAAGCCUGGGGCUCAACUCCAGAAUUGCCUUUGAAACGGGAACGCUUGAGUCCGAGAGAGGGUGGCGGGAAUUCCUAAGUGUAGAGGUGAAAUUCGAUAGAUAUUAGGAAGAACACCAGUGGCGAAGGCGGCCACCUGGCUCGGUACCUGGACGCUCAGGUUCGAAAGCGUGGGGAGCAAACAGGG